UACGUAGGGUGCGAGCGUUGCCCGGAUUUAUUGGGCGUAAAGGGCGCGCAGGCGGUCACGCACGUCCGUUGUGAAAUCGCUCGGCUCAACUGGGCGGGGUCAGCGGAUACGGCGCGACUGGAGCAAGCUAGGGGGCAAUGGAAUUCCCGGUGUAGUGGUGGAAUGCGUAGAUAUCAGGAGGAACACCAAUAGCGAAGGCAGCUCGCUGGGACGGUACUGACGCUAAGGCGCGAAAGCGUGGGGAGCGAACAGG
rnacentral:rRNA from 1 species